GAGCGGUAACAGGCGUAGCAAUACGUGCUGACGAGCGGCGAACGGGUGAGUAAUGCUUCGGAAUCUGCCCAGUAGUGGGGAAUAACCAGCCGAAAGGUUGGCUAAUACCGCAUACGUCCUACGGGAGAAAGCGGGGGAUCGUAAGACCUCGCGCUAUUGGAUGAGCCGAAGCCGGAUUAGCUAGUUGGUAGGGUAACGGCCUACCAAGGCGACGAUCCGUAGCUGGUCUGAGAGGACGACCAGCCACACUGGGACUGAGACACGGCCCAGACUCCUACGGGAGGCAGCAGUGGGGAAUAUUGGACAAUGGGGGAAACCCUGAUCCAGCGACGCCGCGUGUGUGAAGAAGGCCUGCGGGUUGUAAAGCACUUUUAGUGGGGAUGAAAAGCCUUGGGAUAACACCCCAGGGUCUUGACCUAACCCACAGAAAAAGCACCGGCUAACUCUGUGCCAGCAGCCGCGGUAAUACAGAGGGUGCGAGCGUUAAUCGGAAUUACUGGGCGUAAAGCGUGCGUAGACGGUAGCGUAAGUCGGGUGUGAAAGCCCCGGGCUCAACCUGGGAACUGCAUUCGAGACUGCUCUGCUAGGGUGCGGAAGAGGGAAGCGGAAUUUCCGGUGUAGCGGUGAAAUGCGUAGAUAUCGGAAGGAACACCAGUGGCGAAAGCGGCUUCCUGGUCCGACACCGACGUUCAUGCACGAAAGCGUGGGGA
rnacentral:rRNA from 1 species